ACCAGUGGUAGAGUUGUAGAUAAAUUUCGUUCUUCAAUGCUUCCAGAAACAAUUGAAGCUCUGAUAUGCACACAAGAUUGGAUAAGAAGUGCGCUGAAGAAUGAGGGAUUUGGGUUAGGUAGUACUUCACUUCAGACUCUUUUGGAGGCAAUGGAGGAGCUCGAGUCAGACGAUGAUGAUGCAACAUCGCACAUUGUCUAACUGACUGACUAUCAAUUUAAGGAACAAUUGGAAAUAUGAUGGUGAAAUCUUUAGUGA